rnacentral:rRNA from 1 species
GACGAACGCUGGCGGCGUGCCUAAUACAUGCAAGUCGAGCGAACGGACGAGAAGCUUGCUUUUCUGAUGUUAGCGGCGGACGGGUGAGUAACACGUGGAUAACCUACCUAUAAGACUGGGAUAACUUCGGGAAACCGGAGCUAAUACCGGAUAAUAUUUUGAUCCGCAUGGUUCAAAAGUGAAAGACGGUCUUGCUGGCCCUUAUAGAUGGAUCCGCGCUGCAUUAGCUAGUUGGUAAGGUAACGGCUUACCAAGGCAACGAUGCAUAACCGACCUGAGAGGGUGAUCGGCCACACGGGAACGGAGACACGGUCCAGACUCCUACGGGGGGCAGCGGAGGGGAAUCUUCGGCAAUGAGGGAAAGCCUGACGGGGCAACGCCGCGGGAGUGAUGAGGGUCUUCGGUUCGUAAGACUCUGUGACUGGGGAGGAACAGAUGUGUAAGUAACUGGGCACAUCUUGACGGUACCUAAUCAGAAAGCCACGGCUAACUACGUG